GAGUGUAUAGCUCAAGUGGUAGACAGAGCACAUGCUUAGCACGCAAGAGGUCCUGGGUUCGAUCCCCAGUACCUCU
rnacentral:tRNA from 1 species